ACAUCGUUUCAUUAUUAAAAGAGUGGGCUUUGCAGGUUGCUGUUUUAGCUGUUUAAACACAAAAGCCCAACUCAUAUUGAUUUUCAAAUGCAUCUUCUUCCAGAAUCCACAAGUCGACGUCUCAUCUUUUCUUCUCCGACUCUCUCAACUUCUCCUGCUUAGGAAGACUGCAGUUAACGACAUUCUUAACUCCUUCAACCCACUCCAACCAUGAUUUCUCAUUCAAUGCAUCUUCCCUCUCUACGGCUGUUGGAUCUCCAGCUAUAAAAAGUCGACCCUGAUGCUAUCCACCGUGAACGUCCACCAUGACCCUGGCUCAUCUCCUCCACCAAGCGGAUACCACAUAUAUAUAUAUAUAUAUAUAUAUAUAUAAUGCUUAUCGAAGAGUUUUGGUAAUUUUACACCCCCCUUUGCAAGUUCUUCGUGUUACAAAUCCUUCAAGACAAAAACGUCAAGAAGAUGACUGUCACCAACAUUCACCUCCCCGACUUUGAGACAGGAAGUUGUAAAGAGACAGUGGGUACACGACUUCUGUGUUUUUCAGAGGCUAGAAAUGUGAAGAAAGGAGGAGAGCUGAUGGGUGUUGAAGUGGUUUCCGUUGAUGUGAAGUGAUUACACUUAAAGGACUUAAACAAGCCACCGGUUAUUGCUAACAAGGAGUUAGAGGCAGGGGAGGAAGACUAGGAAGUGAUGCAGCCCCUUAUGUGAGACGCCUACCAAUUGGCAGCCCAAACCAACAUGGAGGUUUUGUAAGAGGUGGUUAAGACAAAGGCCAAGCUGGUGGUGGCAAAGGGAAUAAAGGUGGCCCAGCUAAAGAUGCCUAAAUGUAGGAUUGAAAAAAUGGAAAAAGCUCUAACAUGGUAUUAGGAAGAACAUGAAGACAACACUAGCUGAAGGCUUUCUACAGUUGUUGACUAUCAAGUGAACACCCUCCUAUGUUUCUAGGAGAAGCCAGAGCUAAAGCCUUUGUUGCUCAAACUUGCGCAGUGCUCUUUUUCAUGAUUCAGUGGCUACAUGAGAGUUGUUUCUGCACGAGUCAGAGUUUAGAGUCAGUAACUUAACUUGCUUCACAUUUAAGAUAUUGUGGUUACAUUUGUUUAUCUAAUGAAUAAGCAAACCAGACUCUAAAUAGCUUAACUUGCUUCACAUUUAAGAUAUUGAGGUUACAGUUGUUUAUCUAAUGGAUAAGCAAACUAGAACCAAGUAAAAUACACGUUCCAAAAACGAUUUACAAACAAUGUUCUUUCUAUUAUAUACUAAUACAUGAAUAUGUUUUUAACGA